ACAUGAAUAAUAUGAGGAUCUUUCUAAAAUGCCAAAUUCUGAUUUAGUAAGUCUGGAAUGGAGCCUGAGAUUCUACAUUUCUAACAAGUUAUGAAAUGAUGCUGAU
rnacentral:pre_miRNA from 1 species